GCGCCGGAAGCGGAAGGGGCGGGCCCGGGCCGAGCCCGCAGCGAUGGCGCGCUGCCCGCAGCGCCUGGACCGCGCUCGUUGGCAAAGAAAGGACGGCAAUGUUCGCGAGAGUCAACUGCAGGCAUUUCAGCAGCUGAGUCGGUGAAGCUGACAUGACCAGGCACCAACAGCACUUUGAGGUCCUUCAUUGAGGAUUCCAUUCCUACCCAUGUAAUCCAGCCUUGAAGGAUGACACAGUUAGCUGCUGAAGUUUCACAGUGUGGUUGGAGCCUGCAGGGAAUGAUGCUCAAAGCUGCUGGAACAGACACGGGCUGCGCUGUCCUCGUGACUGCGACUGGGAGGGGAGCUGCUGCCUCCCAGUACAGUGCUCCUCACAGCAACUGGGGCUGUUCUUCACUUCUUCACUGAGAGCAAAGGAAAAAAGUAUCCCAAAAUGAUGAGCUGCAAGGAGCCAGAGGGGAAUAAUUCUUUAGUACAUUUCUUUCUCAAGCUGCAUAUCUUUAGAGACAGAACAACUGCUGUGCUGUAUACUCAUUCACAACAACUUACACUAGAGAAAUAAACCAUUUAUAAGCACAUACACAUGUCCAACAGAAAUCAUACUACUGCAGCAUGAAACUGUAGAAUCCUUGGCCACCAGGAGAGACAAUAACAAUCCCAUCAUUUGGUAAAUGUGGAAUAUACAUAUGCUGUGUACUGCACUACACACACAGGAAGCCACAGGACACAGAGAACUGCAAUCCCUCCAUUAAGAAUGUAAUUUUACUGAGACUAAUCCCUUUACCAAUUAGGAAAAAUUGGAAAUGAGAUAAUCAGAAUGCUUCCUUUUUAGCUUAGGGCACAUGCAAACCCAGUAAAAAUCAGAUUUGCACAGUUGUACAGACCACACUGUGAAAGUAUCAGAAGUAAAGGCUGCAAGUGCUCCAUGUACUGACUUGAACUUUACAGCAACAUCAAAACUGAAGCAGGAGAUAAGACAGCCCCAAAGAAAGUGCAUUUGUGUUCUGCUUUCAGAGCAAGAUCCAAACCUGAUGGCGUGGUGCAAGGCAACUUGGCAUUGUCUGUUGUGUGAAUACACCCUGCCUAUCAAUGUCCUGGAAACUCUGAUACAGAAACUACUGCAACAAAAGGACUUAGAUCUUGAGAUGAAAGUAUCUGAACUGCAGACUUCAGUAAACCUCCAGAGACAUGAGCACUUCUCCCUCACCUGACCUCCAUAUGCUCUCAGUCUAUGCAGGUAUCACUGGAGACAGUGGAUUAAUUGUAACUUGCUAAGUCUUGACCAGGGGCUAUCUCACUACUGCUGUUCAUCAGUGUCAUGGAAUAAUCUGGUUGAACAUAACUUCUUUUUUUAAUAAGGUAACUAAGUAACAUUAAAUAUAGUUAAAAAGUGAUAUUUUUUAGCAUUAAGACAAAAUUGUGAGCACAGUAAACACCAAAAGCAAAGAUUUAAUAUACUUGCUACAACAUUAUAUUGCUCAACUCCUGAAUUUAUUUGCAUGCACCUGCCCUUACAUGGAAAAUGCAAUGUUUAUAAAAAGAUGUUACAAACUUUUACAAGGUAUCAACCAAUGCAUUACUGUUGUCCCAGUAAACCUAGACACACUAGUUAUGUGUCCAAGAAGACCUCUUGCAGACACAGAUUUACCACCUCUGCAGGGAGUGGAAACACCCCAACCUUUAAAAUGCUUCUUAAAAGCUAAAUUGGUGCUGGUAUCAUGUGCCUAACAGCUUUAGAAAUGUUUCAUUUACAGGAAUGACACAGGUAGCAUAAGACUUCUCAUAUUUCUGCCCAGAAAAUGGUAUUGUGACUAGAAUACCUGUUAUAAAUGAGCGCAAUGGGCCAGUCGGGUCAAUUAUAUAGCCAAUUUAUUAAUACAGAAAAGAGAAAGCAAAUCGCAGCGCUGGGCGGCGGGGGAGUCCUCGCUCCACCAACUGCCGCGCCGAAAACUGUUCCGUUCCCCUUUUUGUACCCCCCGCGCUCCCAGCCCCGUCGCAUUUCCGGUGCUCCUCCGCUCAUGUCCACCCGGUUGUUAGAGGGUCUCCUUCUGCCUCCUGGUGGUCGUCGAAUAGGGCCUCUGGUACUUUUCCUCGGCGCCCCCCUCUCUGGGAACCUGUGUAGCUCCUGAGUUCUACUGAGACCAGAAUUCCCACCAGUAACCACCAAGAUUCAUCCACAAAGAACUGCAAUGAACUCAUUCCCUACUGCUAGCUGAGACAGUCUUGACAUCCUGAAGCAGAAUCUAAAUUCACAACUUCAGCUGAAAAAGGUCUGGUAUCUUACCAGUCAGUUCAGCUUUUGUGGCUUAGAUUUAAACUUCCUGGCCAACAAACUGCCACCACAGAACUGCAGUUCUGCAUCCUGAAUGAUGGACUCAAAGACACCAAAGCUGGAGCUCACUUUGGCGAGGUAAAGGAGUGAGCUGGUGUAAGGUAAAUGAACAAAAAUAACCAUCUCUGUAUUUGUGAAAGCCAAGUUAAUUUGAUUGUUAAUAUCCAAACAAGUUUUCAUGACAACAAAGAAAUGCACUUGACCAUUUACAGCAAAACAGAUUUAUACAAUAACAACAAGUAACUUAUGGCCUUGUCUACCUGCAAAUGAAUUCCUUCAGCAGGUACACAAAAUAUAUUGUUCAGUCAUAAAAAUAUAUAUAUUAUCUCUUUCCUUUAACAUUUAGGUAUAUAAAUAUUUUACUGAAGAACAUGCAUCAUUUAGAUAAACAGUUGCAAGAACAUCCUCUGAAAACAGGGUUCUUUGCCAUUUAGCAGUAUAAAACGAUUACAUAAACAGCAAAUAAAGUCAAGACAAACCAAUACAGCAGUAAGCAGUUCAUUGUGUGCUAGUCCAAAGCACCUUUUGCAACAGAUUAUAUAAGACAUGCACACAGAGAAUGCACUGUAAUGGAGCACAAACAGCAUCGUUCCAUCUGCGUGUUCUUCAGUCUUGUUUGGACUCCAAAUUUACUGUUCACUUUUCUGUUCUUGUUUUCCAUUCAUCUCUUGGUCAACUCUGCUUAGCAAAGAAAGUAGUAAGAGUAAACUAUGUUAACAUAGCUCAUCUUAUUAAGAAAAAAUAUUAACAGGAAAACACAAAGCUUUUAUAUGGGAAAUGUUUUAGUAAAUAAAUAUUAAAUUACAUUUAAUGUAGUAGUCGUGAUGUUUGGGUUCUUUUAAAUAUCUAUUUUCCUACCACCCCCUAAAAAUUAAUUUAAAUUGUUAGGAAAUCAUUUAAGUAACUACAGCACUUGAGGGGAAGCAUUUAAAAAGUGCAAGUCAGGUUUGACUACUGAAGAAAAAAGCAUGGACUGUGCUCAUAACAACAAAUGCAAGCAGAAAUACAGUACAGGCAACAUGACAAUACUGCUAAGCUCUGCCACUGAUGAAUUCAUAAGCACUGAAUUACCUUCUUGGCUUAAUUGCUAUAACAUUAAAGAUAACAGCACUAGUUGAAUUAACAAAAGUGAAGAGGCUCCUGCAAUAAUUUUUCUAUUAUGUUCUAAGACUCUUGCAAUUACCCUGGAAAAGUUCACCAUCAUGCUGAUAAAAGUGGGUUUGAUUUUGUACCGUAUUUCUUACUAUCUGCCUUGGGACCAGCAAACAAAAUGCUGCUUUGCAGAAACCAGGGGAUGAUGAGAUUGGAAGCCCUGCAUAAAAUGUACUUUUCCUCUUUACAGUAAGAACAAGGUACAAUCUUGAUAACAUCUUCUGGCAAAUAAGUUGUGCAUGGAGGUAAAUUAAUUUUAAAACCAACAGCAGUUCUAAAGUGAGAGACUGUCUCUAACAAUCUGCCUAACAUACCUGUCCAGUCUCUCAAACUAUAACCAGCCAGUUGUUCAAAAUGAUAGAAACAGUGACAGCUCCAUUGGGCGACGAAUCCAUAAAAAGGAGCUGCUUUCUACCUGAUUGAAGGGUCAGUAUCCAAUUCUGCCUGUGAUCUCUAUAUCUAAUUUUCACUGAAGAACGUACUACUUUUUACAAAAGUCAUGGUGGUACAGGUGAAGUUAGCAGGGACACCAAAAAGUGCUUGUUCUAGUGGAGAUUUUUUAAAUUGUCACUUAAGUGGAGUAAUUCCUGAAGAAUGUUCAACACAUGACUAGAUUUACAUGUGAGCUUCAAGAAAUAAUUUAAAUUCCUUUUACUUCAAUUUAAGUGUUCCCCUACCCAAUUUAGACAAUAAGCCUUCCUUAACAGUUAGGCACACAGAGGAAAAGUAAUUAAAAAAACUCCAAAGUUAGUAGCAAAAUCUUUCAGUCUCUUUGUUAGUCAGUGAAAAAUAACAUAUCCACUCAAAAAAGUCAUCAGCUAUGGAAUAGCUUGAAUAGUUAGCAGGAGACUGGAAAUUAACAAAGUGGAAAUCUAGUAUUUAUUAGGAAGGAACGUAGGCACUGCAAAUACAAACAGCACUAAAAUACUAAUUUAGAUUGUAUCUAUGCAAGUUAAUAACUAAAAAGGUAGCAAAUACCAAAAAUACAAGAUUCAGUAUUAGAACUUCUUACGGAGUUGCAUCUCUGCUAAUGCAUAGCUACAGCUUAGAACUAAAUACAGCUCAUUUCCAGAGAGAAUUCCUGUUAGAAACAAUGACAUUUGCUUUAAUGGGUUCAUACAGGAGCACUACUUCUGCCUCUUAAAGACUUCAAGUUGAGAACCCAUGUAUCCCCUUAAAAGUGAGUAUCUCACAAAAAAGUGUAAUAGAAACUAUUUAUAAAUAGCUGUCUGAACACCCAGGGUGAGUUCUUUCAGAUUCCAUACUGCCUCCAAGUACAGCAUAGUUGCUGUCAUGCAUAAACACUCGGGCACUAGUGCAUGUUUAUAUUUACAAAUGCUUAUUCCUUUAUGCAAGCCAAUCAACUGGGAGUUAGUUGCAGUGCAAAUUGUCUUAUCUAGAUGCAACCCUAAUCAAAAGAUGAAUAUACCUUUUCUGUUUCUUUCUAAACUUUUCUUCUUCAUACCUUGGUGAGGAAAAGUUUUAUUUCAGUAAAUAUAACACAUAAAGGCCAAAAUCAACAAGCUGCAAACCAGUAUUAGUGUCAAUAGUUUGCAGAAACUUAAUUUUGAAACUGAUAUAAUUAAGAAAAAAAACCACACUGUACCUCCAUUUAUUAGCAUUAAACAAAAACCAUUAAGAUUUAGUUACUAUGACAUAACAAAUGAAUUCAAUACAACCUCUUGUAUAGUGUUAGCAUUCAUCAAUAAAAUCUAGUCUGUAUCCAUAACAGUUUGAAGCCAGAUAUAAUCCUCCACAGAAAUCUGAGAAUUAACUCUUUAAGUUAACCAUGUCCAGACUUUGCAGAACAGUUAAAGGUUCAUCAGUACAGAGAGCAAUCUCUUAAAACUCAGAAUGACAGUCUGAAUAUUCAAAACACACCCAUAAAACCCCAGUAAAAAAAAAAUUCUAAAAACAGCACAAUGCUGCCUCAGCUUUGUCAUGUGUUUCACUCCCACCCCAUGAAAACUGGUUUUCUGUCUUACAGUAAGAGUUAAACUGUGGAACUGACUACUGAAAUAGCCAGCCAUCUGCAGGGGGCACAAGGCUUUGGAUGUGCCCUCAGUGACACUGGGCCACCUUCCCCCAGUUUGUGUCACCUGCUAGGAUGCAGACAACACAGGGUUUGUGUGUCAUACCCUCUAAGAGGCUGUCAUCAGGAUUGUUAGUGUUUUCACCUGCUUUUCUUAAGACCCAAGUUUAUGGUUUCUACUCUGUUACUGCAUUCACAAAUGCUUUUGACAAAAGGAUCAUCAUCUUGUUUGACAGCAGAAUUGUGCUGAUGUUAAAAUGGCUAUUUCUAUCUGGAUGGGAAGGAAAAAAAAUGACACUGAUGCUGUCUUCAUUUCUUUACCAAAGUGGCUUAGAACUGUAGUGGGUAGGGGUUCAGCAUUUUCCCAUCGCUGCUUUUCUUUCAAAUGAGAACCCAAUCCAAUGAUAUUUCAGCACUUUACUUGUUCCACAUUUUAAUUAAAACGCUUUAGAAGACAUUAUAAAAAACUUCAGCGUCAACAUUCCCACAAUUUCUCAUCACAAGCCAGUUUAAUAUACACACCAAGGUGCAGAUCAAGUGGAAUGAGACUUUCUCUAGAAGGCUUAAUUCACACACCACAACUUAGUAAUUGCACAAAGCUCCACUGUGAAAAUGACUAUACAUUAACAUUUUGGCUGUCCAUGCUACUCCAUUCCAAACUGCCUUUAGCAAAGAGGUCAAACAUGGACACUCCUCCUACAGAGAGCAAUUAUCUCAGUUAAGUCAUUAUGUGCCAAGUGUUACAUUCAAACCAAACACUGAUUACAACAUCUAGCAGUCCUAAACCCCAAUCAGUGUAGAAGAUGUUGGAAUAAUGAAACGUACUGUUUUAUGCAUUCUGGGAUGCCAACGUAUUCCAUGGGGAUGAGUUCAGCUAGUUCUGCCAGGGUAAAGACAUACCUAAUUUUUUGGCUGAAUUUUGAGCU